rnacentral:rRNA from 1 species
AUUGAACGCCGGCGGCAUGCCUUACACAUGCAAGUCGAACGGUAACGCGGGGCAACCUGGCGACGAGUGGCGAACGGGUGAGUAAUGUAUCGGAACGUGCCCAGUUGUGGGGGAUAACUGCUCGAAAGAGCAGCUAAUACCGCAUACGACCUGAGGGUGAAAGCGGGGGAUCGCAAGACCUCGCGCAAUUGGAGCGGCCGAUAUCAGAUUAGGUAGUUGGUGGGGUAAAGGCCCACCAAGCCAACGAUCUGUAGCUGGUCUGAGAGGACGACCAGCCACACUGGGACUGAGACACGGCCCAGACUCCUACGGGAGGCAGCAGUGGGGAAGUUUGGACAAUGGACGCAAGUCUGAUCCAGCCAUGCCGCGUGCGGGAAGAAGGCCUUCGGGUUGUAAACCGCUUUUGUCAGGGAAGAAACGCUCUGGGUUAAUACCUCGGGGUAAUGACGGUACCUGAAGAAUAAGCACCGGCUAACUACGUGCCAGCCGCCGCGGUAAGAC